rnacentral:hammerhead_ribozyme from 1 species
AUCCAGCUGACGAGUGCCAAAUAGAACGAAACGCACGUCCUCGAU